CUGAUAUGGCGGCAUAAUGUGGGUGUAUAUGCUUGUCAUAAAAAAUUCAAACCAUUUUAUGAAAGUGAGACUAUACAUUGUUCACAAAUGGUAUAUGUCUCAUGUAGUUUGUGUGAGAGAUAUACCAUUUGUUAGACAAUGUAUGGUACCUCUUUUCAAAAUCAUUUGAUUUUUUGAUUAGAAUAUUACACAUAAAAAAUAUGUUAUUGUGCAUGUUUAUGGGAUUUUCUAACAAAGUUUUUAAUUAUUAAAAUUAUUUUAUGUUAUAUUUGAAGAUAAAGUGAUGAAUGGAUGGAAAAAUCAGCCAUAUAUGAAGAACUAAGAAACAAUAAUUACUUAAAAAGCAUGUUUUCAGUUGAUAGAUCAUAAUUUUAGAAAAAAAUAGAAAAAAAAGAACAUACAAUUUGGAGUUAGAAUGAGUGAGAAAAACUGGUUCCAAAUUUUUGCUUCAGAUUAAAAACACAAAAAGCUUUGGUUCAUGUUGUUGCUCUUGUUCUUCAAGUAUUUACAAGCAAAUUUUUGCUUCGGAUUAAAAAUACAAAAGCUUUUAUUUAGAUUCUCGAUUGAAGCCGUUGUUCGCAUAUAUCAC
rnacentral:lncRNA from 1 species